AGAGAGGAGAAGAGAGGGAGAAAAGGAGAACGAGAGAGAGAAGCUUGUUAAAAGACAGGAUGCUGAAAGAGGAGAUGAAACAUUUCAACCUGAAGGGAAGUGCUUUAAGAUGCAGGAUGUAAAACAAUGAAAUGCUGGAAGAAGAGCUCAAACACUCCAUUCUUUAAAAAGGCUUCUUAAACUCAGGAAAUAAACAACUGAAUAACUUCAGAAAGUCCCUGAAACUGGCAAGAUUCUCUGCUGCCAUCCUUCUCCAAGCAUUUAUAAUCGUUGUGUAAUCUGAGAGCUAAGGCUCUAGCUGCAUUCAUCCCAAUAUGAAUAUACAAAUUUCUAUGUGUCAUUUGUUAAAGGGGCUGUCCUUUCUGCAAUGUGUAUUUUUGGCAAUUUUCUUUGAAGUAAAAUGACUUUAGCUUAUUGGGCUUAUAUCUGUAUAUUCUAGUCUGUUCCUUUUAGAUUGAUUUGUCUGUUUUUGUGCCAGUUCCAUGCUGUUUUGUUUUGAUGGCUUAGUAAUAUAAGGUGAAUCAGAGAUGGUGAUGUUACCAACAUUAUUCAUUUUGCUCAGGCUUGCUUUGCCUAUUGGGUAACUUCUACACUUCCAAAUGUGUUUCAAGAUUAUUUUUCUAUUUAUAAAGAAUUCCAUUACAUUUUUAAUAUUUUUAUGGGGUUGUAUUGAAUUUGUAGGUUGCUUUUGUUGAGACAUUUCCACAAUAUUGGUUAUUCUAAUUCAUUAGUCUUUAGGAAAUAUGACCAGCAGUUGUAUAGCUGAGUCAUAUGCCAGUUCUGUUUUUAAUUUUUUUUGGAAAACUUCCAUAGUGAUUUUCAUAGUGGCUGUACUAGGUUACACCCCCACCAGCAAUAAAUAAUUUCUCUUUUCUAAAACCUCA